rnacentral:rRNA from 1 species
CACCGCGGUUAUACGAGAGACCCUAAUUGAUAAAUACGGCGUAAAGGGUGGUUUAGAGUAAAAAAUAAUAAAGUUAAAGGCCCUCCCAGCUGUCGCACGCACCCCGAGGGUACGAAAUCCUCUAACGAAAGUAACUUUACCCUAAUUCUCUGACCCCACGAAAGCUAAGAAA